AUAAAUCAAGCGGUGGUGAAAAAAUCAAAAGGAGGAAACAAGAAACAGAGUGACACAAAUCCCAAACGGCAGAGGAAAAAAAAACAGACAUGCCAAAGAUCGCUCGUAGAUGAAUUGGACACAAGUGAAGAUCCGUUGGCUUUAGUAACUAAUGUUCAGCAUGACCAAGUAAUUGGAACUCAAAAUAGCGUAGUUACACAGACCUUCGAAAAUUCACAGUCAU